rnacentral:rRNA from 1 species
GACGAACGCUGGCGGCGUGCUUAACACAUGCAAGUCGAGCGAUGAAACACCUUCGGGUGCGGAUUAGCGGCGAACGGGUGAGUAACACGUGGGUGAUCUGCCCUGCACUUCGGGAUAAGCCUGGGAAACUGGGUCUAAUACCGGAUAGGACCACUGCCUGCCUGGGAGGUGGUGGAAAGCUUUUGCGGUGUGGGAUGGGCCCGCGGCCGAUCAGCUUGUUGGUGGGGUGAUGGCCUACCAAGGCGACGACGGGUAGCCGGCCUGAGAGGGUGGCCGGCCACACUGGGACUGAGAUACGGCCCAGACUCCUACGGGAGGCAGCAGUGGGGAAUAUUGCACAAUGGGCGCAAGCCUGAUGCAGCGACGCCGCGUGAGGGAUGACGGCCUUCGGGUUGUAAACCUCUUUCAGCACCGACGAAGCGCAAGUGACGGUAGGUGCAGAAGAAGGACCGGCCAACUACGUGCCAGCCGCCGCGGUAA